rnacentral:rRNA from 1 species
UACGAAGGGGGCUAGCGUUGCUCGGAAUCACUGGGCGUAAAGCGCACGUAGGCGGAUUGCUAAGUCAGGGGUGAAAUCCUGGAGCUCAACUCCAGAACUGCCUUUGAUACUGGCAACCUUGAGUCCGGGAGAGGUGAGUGGAACUGCGAGUGUAGAGGUGAAAUUCGUAGAUAUUCGCAAGAACACCAGUGGCGAAGGCGGCUCACUGGCCCGAUACUGACGCUGAGGCACGAAAGCGUGGGGAGCAAACAGG